UUGGUCCUACGGAGGGCAGCAGUGAGGAAUAUUGGUCAAUGGGGGAAACCCUGAAGCAGCAACGCCGCGUGGAGGAUGAAGGUUUUCGGAUUGUAAACUCCUUUUGUUAGAGAAGAUAAUGACGGUAUCUAACGAAUAAGCACCGGCUAACUCCGUGCCAGCAGCCGCGGUAAUACGGAGGGUGCAAGCGUUACUCGGAAUCACUGGGCGUAAAGAGCGCGUAGACGGGAUAGCAAGUCAGAUGUGAAAUCCUAUGGCUUAACCAUAGAACUGCAUUUGAAACUGUUAUUCUAGAGUAUGGGAGA
rnacentral:rRNA from 1 species